rnacentral:lncRNA from 1 species
GGAAGGGCAGGAGCAAAGAAUUCUUUUUCUCCAAGUGCAAAUCUGCCAACCGACCAUUUGAUCUCUUCCUCUCAAUUGGCUCCAGAGACACACGAGCUUGUUGAAUGAAGUGAUUGGGGGAGAGGGAGUGAGGAGAGGGUUAACAUUACCAAAGACCAGCUUUAUUCUGAGACCCGAGAAAGGAAGGUUGAAGGGUCCUAUGACCUAAUUCCUUUCUACCUUCAGGUCUCUAUCUUUACUUUGCCUAAGUGGUUUUCCAUGUUCCUGCCUCCUUAAUGGUAAUGAUGGAAGUCAAGAUGAAAUAAGGGAAGAGGAUGCAUCUGAGGACUGUCUUUUUGUCUUUCAACCAGGCGCCCAAGUACACCCACAAAUCAAACUCUACUCAGAAUGAUGUGAAGAUUUUGAAAGCCUCCUUUGUCCUGACGGUGCCAGCGCCUAAGCCACCCAGAACGUCCAGUUUUCCUCCAGAUCCG